GAUGAACGCUGGCGGCGUGCCUAAUACAUGCAAGUCGAGCGAACAGACGAGGAGCUUGCUCCUCUGACGUUAGCGGCGGACGGGUGAGUAACACGUGGAUAACCUACCUAUAAGACUGGGAUAACUUCGGGAAACUGGAGCUAAUACCGGAUAAUAUAUUGAACCGCAUGGUUCAAUAGUGAAAGACGGUUUUGCUGUCACUUAUAGAUGGAUCCGCGCCGCAUUAGCUAGUUGGUAAGGUAACGGCUUACCAAGGCGACGAUGCGUAGCCGACCUGAGAGGGUGAUCGGCCACACUGGAACUGAGACACGGUCCAGACUCCUACGGGAGGCAGCAGUAGGGAAUCUUCCGCAAUGGGCGAAAGCCUGACGGAGCAACGCCGCGUGAGUGAUGAAGGUCUUCGGAUCGUAAAACGCUGUUAUUAGGGAAGAACAAAUGUGUAAGUAACUAUGCACGUCUUGACGGUACCGAAUCAGAAAGCCACGGCUAACUACGU
rnacentral:rRNA from 1 species